rnacentral:rRNA from 1 species
GUGGGGAAUAUUGGACAAUGGGCGCAAGCCUGAUCCAGCCAUGCCGCGUGAGUGAUGAAGGCCUUAGGGUUGUAAAGCUCUUUCAGUGGGGACGAUAAUGACGGUACCCACAGAAGAAGCCCCGGCUAACUUCGUGCCAGCAGCCGCGGUAAUACGAAGGGGGCUAGCGUUGUUCGGAUUUACUGGGCGUAAAGCGCACGUAGGCGGGGCGUUAAGUCGGGGGUGAAAUCCUGGAGCUCAACUCCAGAACUGCCUUCGAUACUGGCGACGUAGAGUCCGGAAGAGGUGAGUGGAACUCCUAGUGUAGAGGUGGAAGUCGUAGAUAUUAGGAAGAACACCAGUGGCGAAGGCGGCUCACUGGUCCGGUACUGACGCUGAGGUGCGAAAGCGUGGGGAGCAAACAGGAUUAGAUACCCCGGUAGUCC